rnacentral:rRNA from 1 species
CGAAGGCAGCAUACCGGCGCUCAACUGACGCUCAGGCACGAAAGCGUGGGUAUCGAACAGGCUUAGAUACCCUGGUAGUCCACGCAGUAAACGAUGAAUGCUCACUGUCCGGGCCGUUUAAGGCCUGGGUGGUCAAGCGAAAGCGUUAAGCAUUCCACCUGGGGAGUACGCCGGCAACGGUGAAACUCAAAGGAAUUGACGGGGGCCCGCACAAGCGGAGGAACAUGUGGUUUAAUUCGAUGAUACGCGAGGAACCUUACCCGGGCUCAAACGGAAGGGGACAGUAUGAGAAAUCAUACAUUCCUUCGGGACCGCUUCCGAGGUGCUGCAUGGUUGUCGUCAGCUCGUGCCGUGAGGUGUCGGCUUAAGUGCCAUAACGAGCGCAACCCCUAUCGACAGUUGCUAGCAGGUAAAGCUGAGGACUCUGUCGAGACUGCCGGCGCAAGCUGUGAGGAAGGCGGGGAUGACGUCAAAUCAGCACGGCCCUUACGUCCGGGGCGACACACGUGUUACAAUGGCAGGUACAGCGGGAGGCCACCCGGCGACGGGGCGCAGAACCCGAAAACCUGUCUCAGUUCGGAUUGGAGUCUGCAACCCGACUCCAUGAAGCUGGAUUCGAUAGUAAUCGCGCAUCAGCCACGGCGCGGUGAAUA